rnacentral:rRNA from 1 species
CCUACGGGGUGCAGCAGUGGGGAAUAUUGGGCAAUGGGCGAAAGCCUGACCCAGCAACGCCGCGUGAAGGAAGAAGGCUUUCGGGUUGUAAACUUCUUUUGACAGGGAAGAGCAGAAGACGGUACCUGUCGAAUAAGCCACGGCUAACUACGUGCCAGCAGCCGCGGUAAUACGGAGGAUGCGAGCGUUAUCCGGAUUUAUUGGGUUUAAAGGGUGCGCAGGCGGAGGCACAAGUCAGCGGUAAAAUCGCGGGGCUCAACCCCGCUCCGCCGUUGAAACUGUGUCCCUUGAGUGCGCGAAGGGUAGGCGGAAUGCGUGGUGUAGCGGUGAAAUGCAUAGAUAUCACGCAGAACUCCGAUCGCGAAGGCAGCCUACCGGCGCGCAACUGACGCUCAUGCACGAAAGCGUGGGUAUCGAACAGGAUUAGAUACCCUGGUAGUC